CCUACGUGGUGCAGCAGUGAGGAAUAUUGGUCAAUGGACGCGAGUCUGAACCAGCAAUGCCGCGUGCAGGAAGACGGCACUAUGAAUUGUCAACUGCUUUUGUCCGAGGGUAAACGAGGAUACGCGUAUCUGUAUGAAAGUAACCUACGAAUAAGGAUCGGCUAACUCCGUGCCAGCAGCCGCGGUCAUACGGAGGAUUCAAGCGUUAUCCGGAUUUAUUGGGGUUAAAGUGUGCGUAUGCGGUCGGGUAAGGUAGAGGUGAAAUCCCGAGGCUGAACGUCGGAAUUGCCUCUGAUACUGUUCGGCUAGAGAGUACUUGCGGUAGGCGGAAUGUAUGGUGGAGCGGUGAAAUGCUUAGAUAUCAUACAGAACACCGAUUGCGAAGGCAGCUUACCAAGCUACUUCUGACGUUGAGGCACGAAAGCGUGGGGAGCAAACAGGAUUAGAUACCCUGGUAGUC
rnacentral:rRNA from 1 species